rnacentral:rRNA from 1 species
GAGUUUGAUCCUGGCUCAGGAUGAACGCUAGCGGCAGGCUUAACACAUGCAAGUCGAGGGGCAGCACGGGUAGCAAUACCUGGUGGCGACCGGCAAACGGGUGCGGAACACGUACGCAAUCUACCUUUGUCUGGGGCAUAGCCCGGAGAAAUCCGGAUUAACUCCCCAUAAGAUAUUAAUAUGGCAUCAUAUAGAUAUUAAAACUCCGGUGGACAGAGAUGAGCGUGCGUCCCAUUAGCUAGUUGGUAGGGUAAUGGCUUACCAAGGCGACGAUGGGUGGCUGGUGUGAGAGCACGACCAGCCACACGGGCACUGAGACACGGGCCCGACUCCUACGGGAGGCAGCAGUGAGGAAUAUUGGUCAAUGGACGCAAGUCUGAACCAGCCAUGCCGCGUGAAGGAUGAAGGCCUUCUGGGUUGUAAACUUCUUUUAUCUGGGAAGAAACCCCUGAUUUCUAUUAGGGCCGACGGUACCAGAGGAAUAAGCACCGGCUAACUCCGUGCCAGCAGCCGCGGUAAUACGGAGGGUGCAAGCGCUAUCCGGAUUCACUGGGUUUAAAGGGUGUGUAGGCGGGCACUUAAGUCAGUGGUGAAAUCUCCAGGCUCAACCUGGAAACUGCCAUUGAUACUAUUUGUCUUGAAUAUUGUUGAGGUAGGCGGAAUAUGUCAUGUAGCGGUGAAAUGCUUAGAUAUGACAUAGAACACCAAUUGCGAAGGCAGCUUACUAAACAAAGAUUGACGCUGAGGCACGAAAGCGUGGGGAUCAAACAGGAUUAGAUACCCUGGUAGUCC